rnacentral:rRNA from 1 species
UAAUACGGGAGGCAGCAGUGGGGAAUAUUGCACAAUGGGCGCAAGCCUGAUGCAGCCAUGCCGCGUGUAUGAAGAAGGCCUUCGGGUUGUAAAGUACUUUCAGCAGUGAGGAAGGUGGGUAUGUUAAUAGCAUACUCAUUUGACGUUAGCUGCAGAAGAAGCACCGGCUAACUCCGUGCCAGCAGCCGCGGUAAUACGGAGGGUGCGAGCGUUAAUCGGAAUUACUGGGCGUAAAGCGCAUGCAGGUGGAUGAUUAAGUCAGAUGUGAAAGCCCGGGGCUCAACCUCGGAAUAGCAUUUGAAACUGGUCAUCUAGAGUACUGUAGAGGGGGGUAGAAUUUCAGGUGUAGCGGUGAAAUGCGUAGAGAUCUGAAGGAAUACCGGUGGCGAAGGCGGCCCCCUGGACAGAUACUGACACUCAGAUGCGAAAGCGUGNGGAGCAAACAGGAUUAGAUACCCUGGUAGUCCACGCCGUAAACGAUGUCUACUUGGAGGUUGUGGCCUUGAGCCGUGGCUUUCGGAGCUAACGCGUUAA